rnacentral:pre_miRNA from 1 species
CAAGUACUCCCUCCGUCUGGAAUUACUUGUCAUCAAAAUGGAUGUGUCUAGAACUAAAAUACAUCUAGAUACAUCCAUUUCAAUGACAAGUAUUUUCGGACAGAGGGAGUACAAC